rnacentral:rRNA from 1 species
UACGUAGGGUGCGAGCGUUAAUCAGAAUUACUGGGCGUAAAGCGUGCGCAGGCGGUUUUGUAAGCCAGAUGUGAAAUCCCCGGGCUUAACCUGGGAAUGGCAUUUGGGACUGCAAGGCUCGAGUGCGGCAGAGGAGACUGGAAUUCCUGGUGUAGCAGUGAAAUGCGUAGAUAUCAGGAGGAACACCGAUGGCGAAGGCAGGUCUCUGGGCUGACACUGACGCUCAUGCACGAAAGCGUGGGGAGCAAACAGG